rnacentral:sRNA from 1 species
GUUGCGCUCCCGCGCGUGCGUGUUGGGAUCGAAUCGCUGUUUCCUUCCGCUUCUCUUCCUCUGUCUCCCCCCCAUAUCCGUGCGCCGAGCUGAUAAAGGCGCCAUUUUGGAGGGGCCGCGGGAGACGUGGUGCCGCUGCGGGCUCGCUCUGCCGUGCGCUAGGCUUGGUGGGAAGGCCUGUUCUCGAGUCCGCGCUUUUCGUCACCGCCAUGUCGGGAGGUGGUGUGAUUCGUGGCCCCGCAGGGAACAACGAUUGCCGCAUCUACGUGGGUAACUUACCUCCAGACAUCCGAACCAAGGACAUUGAGGACGUGUUCUACAAAUACGGCGCUAUCCGCGACAUCGACCUCAAGAAUCGCCGCGGGGGACCGCCCUUCGCCUUCGUUGAGUUCGAGGACCCGCGAGACGCGGAAGACGCGGUGUAUGGUCGCGACGGCUAUGAUUACGAUGGGUACCGUCUGCGGGUGGAGUUUCCUCGAAGCGGCCGUGGAACAGGCCGAGGCGGCGGCGGGGGUGGAGGUGGCGGAGCUCCCCGAGGUCGCUAUGGCCCCCCAUCCAGGCGGUCUGAAAACAGAGUGGUUGUCUCUGGUGAGUGUACUGGUUGUGUGGAUUGAUGUGAAGGGACGAAAACUACCUAAAAUUUUUCUCUUGCGUGACCGGUUUAAUAAUUGCAAAUUUUUCAUGCUAGG